UAGUCCACGCCGUAAACGGUGUGCACUUGGUGUGGGUGGUAUUGACCCCAUCCGUGCCGGAGCUAACGCGUUAAGUGCACCGCCUGGGGAGUACGGCCGCAAGGUUAAAACUCAAAGAAAUUGACGGGGGCCCGCACAAGCGGAGGAGCAUGUGGCUCAAUUCGAUGCAACGCGAAGAACCUUACCUGGGCUUGACAUGUAGCUGCACGCCUCCUGAAAGGGAGGAAGCUUUCGAAGGUGCUACACAGGUGCUGCAUGGCUGUCGUCAGUUCGUGCCGUGAGGUGUUGGGUUAAGUCCCGCAACGAACGCAACCCUUGUGUUUAGUUGCCACUCCGGGUGAUGAGCCCGGAAGCACUCUAGACAGACUGCCUGUACAAGCAGGAGGAAGGUGGGGAUGACGUCAAGUCAGUAUGGCCCUUAUGCCCAGGGCUGCACACGUGCUACAAUGGCCGGCACAAUGGGAAGCAAUACCACGAGGUGGAGCAAAUCCUCAAAGUCGGCCCC
rnacentral:rRNA from 1 species